UCAAGCUACAAAGAGCACAAGGGGAAUGCCUUGGCACCGAGAGCCGAAGAAGGACGUGACUAACUGCGAUAAGCUACGGGGAGCUGUAAGUGAGCGUUAUAUCCGUAGAUUUCCGAAUGGAGCAAUCCGAUUAGAGGAAAGUCUAAUCAUCAUAUACUGAAUACAUAGGUAUAUGAGGGGAACCGCCUGAACUGAAACAUCUAAGUAGGGCGAGGAAGAGAAAUCAACAGAGAUUCCGUAAGUAGUGGCGAGCGAACGCGGAAGAGGCCAAACCUAAUGUAGUAAUAUGUUAGGGGUUCGGACAGUAAAAUGAAUUGUCGAGAUUUAGCCGAAUGUCAUGGGAAGGGCAAUCAAAGAAGGUGAAAAUCCUGUAGGCGAAAAGUUAAGACAUCAGACUGUAUCCAGAGUACCGCCGGACACGUGAAACCCGGUGGGAAUACGGGGGGACCAUCCUCCAAGCCUAAAUACUACUCGGUGACCGAUAGAGAAGAAGUACUGUGAAGGAAAGGUGAAAAGCACCCCGGAAGGGGAGUGAAAGAGAACCUGAAACCUUGUGUUUACAAGCACCGAAAGUUCAUCAACGAACGAUCGGGUACCUUUUGUAGAAUGGUCCGGCGAGUGAAUGUAACUGGCAAGGUUAAGCACUUAAGGUGUGAAGCCGUAGCGAGAGCGAGUCUAAAUAGGGCGCAUGAAGUCAGUUGUAUUCGACCCGAAACCGGGUGACCUACCCAUGUCCAGGCUGAAGUGCAGGUAAAACUUCAUGGAGGGCCGAACCGACUCCCGUUGAAAUGGUAGCGGAUGAGGUGUGGGUAGCGGAGAAAUUCCAAUCGAACCCGGAGAUAGCUGGUUCUCUCCGAAAUAGCUUUAGGGCUAGCCUUGGAAUAGAUUACUGGAGGUAAAGCACUGAAUUGGCUAGGGGCCGAGAGGUUACUGAACCUUAUCAAACUAAGAAUGCCAGAUAAUCGUUUUCCAGGAGUCAGACAGUGGGAGAUAAGUUUCAUUGUCAAAAGGGAAACAGCCCAGACCUACAGCUAAGGUCCCAAAGUAUAGUUAAGUGGAAAAGGAUGUGGAAUUGCAUAGACAACCAGGAUGUUGGCUUAGAAGCAGCCACUCAUUAAAAGAGUGCGUAAUAGCUCACUGGUCGAGUGAUUCUGCGCCGAAAAUUUAACGGGGCUAAACUAUACACCGAAGCUUAGGAUACCGCAAGGUAUGGUAGGAGAGCGUUCUGUACGGAGUGAAGUCGUAGCGAAAGCGGCGGUGGACUGUACAGAAGUGAGAAUGCCGGAAUAAGUAGCGAGAAUUAAGUGAGAAUCUUAAUGGCCGAAAGUCUAAGGUUUUUGGAGGAAGGUUCGUCCGCUCCAAGUAAGUCGGGAGCUAAGGUCAGGCCGAAAGGCGUAGCCGAUGCACAAACGGUUGAUAUUCCGUUACCGUCUACAAUUUAAACAAAGGGACACAUACAAAGCGUUUAACCCGGGCGAUGGUUGACCUGGGCGCAAGGGACUGAAAUUAGAGUAGGGAAGUAAAUGUGGCGUAUGGCGAGAAAAGCUUUGUGAAUAGAAGUAGACGCCCGUACCGCAAACCGACACAGGUGGACAGGAAGAGAAUUCUAAGGCCAGCGGGAGAAGGGUAGUUAAGGAACUCGGCAAAUUGACUCCGUAACUUCGGAAUAAGGAGUGCUCGAAAGAGCCGCAGAGAAUAGGCCCAGGCGACUGUUUAGCAAAAACACAGGUCUCUGCCAAAUCGAAAGAUGAAGUAUAGGGGCUGACACCUGCCCGGUGCCGGAAGGUUAAGAGGAGGAGUGCAAGCUCCGAAUUGAAGCCCCGGUAAACGGCGGCCGUAACUAUAACGGUCCUAAGGUAGCGAAAUUCCUUGUCGGGUAAGUUCCG
rnacentral:rRNA from 1 species